UGACACAAACUCGAGUGAACACUGCGACAAUGGCACAUUAGUACAAAUCAAUUUCAAAUGAAUAUCUUGUCCAACUAUCUGUAGAGGAACUAAGAUGGAACCGCUCUUGAGUCGGGAAGCAAUUCUCUCACUGAUACAUGUCAAGUGACCCAAAAAAAAAAACUAAACUAAAAAUAACAACAACAACAAAGACGGCAAAUGGAAAAUUGACUCCAGAUCAUACAGUGCAGCAUAAGCGUGAGUCAUGUCUCAAACAAAGCAGCUCCAUUUUCUCGGUGAACAUGAACGCUUAUGGAAUUCUACAAUGAGCGACACACAGCUGUCAGCCGGUCUGGCGACUUGUGAACAACUCCACUCGCCUACAUGCUCUCAUCAGACUGAACGGUACUAAUUUGCAAAUGACAGAGGUUGACUACGAGUGUGAGGAGACGCCGAGGCCACACUGUCAGACGUUCACAGUGCUUUAAGUGAUAGUGGAUGCAAAUUAAAGCUGUGCCCCCCUCUAAUUGCCAAGAGUCAAAGCCUACAUUCAGGGAGUGAGAUGUGUAAAAUGUGUAUUUUUAAACAAACUGUGCAACUUGUAAGUGAGCAAACCCAAGAAAUGAUAUAGAGAAAACUACACAAGAUGGUUUGUUAAAAUUCAUGUCAUUAUUCCCUGUGAGCAAAGAGGAAAAUCAUGUGUGCUGUCACUCAAAAACAUCUUUCAGUAAAGAGGUCAAAAGGUCCAA